CAGCCCCAUCCCAACGCAGUUCCCUCCCCCGCCCUGCAUCCCCAUGUAACUCCGCACCGCGCACGAUGGGGGUCCAGUGUAGGAUCUCUCUGUGCGGCCAUUGUCGAAGGGAGAAUGAUCUUGGUGUUUAAUUAUCGGGGAGAAUUGCCUGUGCGCUUUUCGUUUGUUGCGUGAGGUCUUGCGGGGCUGCGGAUAGCGCGUUGGGAGCGAUUGGCUUCAUUUUUGUCUUUUCAAUUUCGGGCGAGCUUCACUGUAGUGGUUGAGCCGAAGCAAGAGAUACACGUGCGUGAACUGUUUGUUGUGAGAUCAUUGAGUUCGUGUAAGCGACUUUAAGCUUGCAAGGGGGAGCGUUUGUUAAGUGAUGGAAGUUGUUGUUGUUGUUGCUGUAGUCCACGCGUAGUUUUAAGGAGUUUUUCUGUUAAGACUGCAGGAUAGUAACCCGUCUGAUCUCGGGUUAGCAAGGUGGCUCCCCUACGGGCGAGCUGUGGUGCAGAGAAGGCGGGUGGAUUGGGACGUUCGUGUAGAGAUUGCUACGGUUCUCACUGGUGCAAGGGUUUGAAGGACGAGAAGGAAGGGACACAAUGUGGCCAGAGGCUUCGCGAGGACGACCAGAGUUCUGGCCUCGCCAGCUGGUAAAGAAAUGGCUAAACCUGAGAAAUACCGGAAACAUUAAAUUUGACCGCGACACCGAUAUGGACGUGGAGCAUACUGUGGAAGAAGAGAGUGAUUUUGAAGAGCUAGAUUACUUCGAUACCCAUACGCCUGAUUUUCACAAGAAUGUGGAUUUGAAUGACGUCUCAGUUGCUCCGCUGUCCAAUCCAUUGUCAUUGCUGCGAGGACAGUCAGAGACUCUACGUCAGCAGUUUGUCGAUUAUAACGAAUAUCGAGUAGCAGUGCACACCUGGAAUGUUGCGGGAAAGCCGCCCCCCGAUCACUUGGACUUGGAGGAAUGGAUUGAUAAUUCUCAGCCGGCUGAUAUAUAUGUCUUCGGCUUUCAAGAAAUCGUGCCGUUGAAUGCAAACAAUGUCGUGUUAGUUGAAGAUCAAGAACCAGCAGCCAGAUGGGAAUCUAAAAUCCGCGAAUAUCUGAAUAAAAAGGUCGGCGUGCGGAAGGAAGAUGAUCCAUUUCAGAGCCGCAGUGCACCAUUAUCGCCUCGCAAUGAUGACAUGGGCAUUUCUGUAACCGAUGUCUCCGACGUUGAAAAAAUGCUGGGUAGAUGCGUGAGCGGGAAGAACUUAGAAACGGCUUUUCUAGCUACUGAGGGGAACCUUUUAAAUUAUGAGAAGAAUAUUCCAGCUGAAACAUUAGAAAGGCUUGGUGAGAAAGAGACGCUAACAGAUAGUAGCUGGAAGUUUGAAAGGGAAAGUUUAGAUUUUACUACCCAAGAUUUGCACGAGGCAGCGAUGGUAGACGAGAGAGAGAAUAUUGUACUUCCACUCAUGUCUUCAACCGGCUCGUAUGCAGGCUACAAUCCUGCAGGUAAUCAAUACCAGUAUUCUCGUGUUGCGAGCAAGCAAAUGGUGGGAAUUUUUAUAACUGUCUGGAUUCGUUCCCAGCUUUGGCGCCAUGUACACAACGUUAAGGUUUCAGCUGUCGGCCUCGGUCUUAUGCAUUACCUCGGAAAUAAGGGAUCCAUUUCUGUAAGCAUGUGUCUUCACCACACAAGCUUCUGCUUCGUGUGCUCCCAUUUGACUUCAGGACAUAAGCAAGGGGACCAAUUUCGAAGAAAUGCUGAUUUUAUGGAGAUUUUGCGCCGAACAAAAUUUCCUCGAUUGGUGAAGGUGUUUAAUGUCGAACUACCUGAAACCAUUUUGGCACAUGAUCGAAUCGUUUGGCUUGGAGAUCUAAACUAUCGGCUCGCUUUGUCAGACAAAGAGACCUGGCAACUCGUCAGCUGUCGCGAUUGGGAAUCUCUCUUGCGUAAAGAUCAGCUGAAACUUGAGCAAGGCGAGGGACGGGUGUUUAAAGAUUGGAUGGAAGGGCCUAUACACUUUCCUCCAACUUAUAAGUACAAGGAAGGAACAGAUCAAUUCUCCGGCGAGACAUCAAGCACUGGGGAGAAGCGACGUUCACCUGCCUGGUGUGACAGAAUUCUAUGGUACGGAAAGGGGAUGAGGCAAGUAGCUUACACACGAGGAGAUCUGAAGCUGUCUGACCAUCGUUCAGUUUGUGCAACAUUCAUUGCCGAAGUGGAAGUUGUUAGCCAUAGAAAGCUGAAGAAAGCAUGUAUAUACCCGAAGAACAUAAAGUUGAUUGACUUGGAGACUGAAAAGGGAAAAAUAAACGCUCCAUCUUCCAAUGCACUCCAACGAAAAAGAUCACAUAAAUUCAGAAAUCUUGGAAGAGCAAGCAGCUUUGUGUAUCCAGAAUCAUCUGUUUCAAGUGCUCGUUCUUGGAAGGGAGAUUUAUCCAGGCGUGAAGAAAGGUUUGGAGGAUUCCCGGUUCCAGUCUCUGGUUACAGUUGAAACGAUCUCUUAUAUUUACAACUCUGUGAUUUGACUGGAAGAAAUACAGCUGGACAUGAUGUUUUCACGCAUCUGAACAACUGCACCUCUUCCAUCCCAGAUGUCAUAUUUGAUGAUGCAUGUCUUUGGCAAUGUGAUCAUCUUCAUGGAAUUUUCAUAAUGCUUAGCAGUAUGGAUUGUUCAAGAGUUUGAAGCUUCAAAGCAAAAGUUCAGUUUGUGCUUUGAACCCAUAACUCAAGAGACAGCCUGAAUCUUCACGGUACAGCUAAUUGUGCAGACUAGGUGCCCUACUUUAACGAAUCAAGGUCAGCAGCACCAGAGGAAAGAGAAAUUUAAUAUGUUCGUCACUUCAAGAUAUUUGCCAAGCCCAUCUCACGCCCUGUGAGAAACUAUUGUGUGAUUUCAGGGUCUCGUUGGGGAACGGAUCUUGGUUUCAGAAGUGCUUUAUGUUUGAUUUGUGAAUACUGGUGUUCGCAGUUGCCACAGAUUUUGGUGGCUGUGAAGAUGUACUGAGCAAUUUUGUUAGGGCAUGCAUAUGUAGGUAAAGACUUCAGUCCAAUUCUAAUCAUUAUACUGUAUUGUAACAUAUAUUCAUGAAACUAAACUACUUUACAUCAA